CCGUAUUCCCACAGGGCUGGAGCAGCAGGAUGACACGGCAGUUAGGAGCUUCUCUGGGGCCUUCAGGCAGACGGUCUGGGCUGUGUCCUGGCUGUGCCUUUUCCCAGCCCUACCUGCAGUCCUACACAUCUUCUCCACCUCCAGCGGCUUCUCCUUCUCACAUCCACCCUCUGCGAAGGCAUAAAUAGUAGCAACUCCCUUCUGGAUUCUAUGAGGUGAUAAUUACAUGAGAUGGCAGAGCCUGGAGCACGGGAGCUCCUCAGUGACUCAGUCAUGUUCAUUCCAAGGAGUUCAGGGUCCUUGCCGUCUGCAAACCUUUCCCCUUAUUUUCAAGAUCCUUGAGUCUGACUGUCAAGCAGUAACAUUCCAGCCUCAACUACAACAAUACUUGUAGAUGAAUGGAGCUUCCACUGGACCCCAUGUCACUGGUGAGGGACUUCAGGCAGAGAGAAAGCUCAUCCUUUGCCCAAGGUCACACCGCUGGUAAAAAGCAAAUGAAGUUCAAACUGACCUCCUCAUCCCUGCCCUUGUCCUCCCAACAGGCUCCUCACAGGUGGAAAAAUCAACCCCUACAGCAAACUCAUUGUUU
rnacentral:lncRNA from 10 species